AAUGGGGGAUAACGUAGCGAAAGUUACGCUAAUACCGCAUAUGCCCUGAGGGGGAAAGGUGGGGAUCGCAAGACCUAUCGUUUUCGGAGUGGCCGAUAUCAGAUUAGCUAGUUGGUGGGGUAAAGGCCCACCAAGGCGACGAUCUGUAGCGGGUCUGAGAGGAUGAUCCGCCACACUGGGACUGAGACACGGCCCAGACUCCUACGGGAGGCAGCAGUGGGGAAUUUUGGACAAUGGGGGCAACCCUGAUCCAGCCAUGCCGCGUGAGUGAAGAAGGCCUUCGGGUUGUAAAGCUCUUUCAGCCGGAAAGAAAUCGCGCAGGCUAAUAUCCUGUGUGGAUGACGGUACCGGAAGGAGAAGCACCGGCUAACUACGUGCCAGCAGCCGCGGUAAUACGUAGGGUGCGAGCGUUAAUCGGAAUUACUGGGCGUAAAGCGUGCGCAGGCGGUUUUGUAAGACAGGCGUGAAAUCCCCGGGCUUAACCUGGGAACUGCGUUUGUGACUGCAAGGCUAGAGUGUGGCAGAGGGGGGUAGAAUUCCG
rnacentral:rRNA from 1 species